rnacentral:rRNA from 1 species
UACGGAGGAGGCAAGCGUUAUCCGGAAUUAUUGGGCGUAAAGCGUCCGCAGGUGGCACUUCAAGUCUGUCGUCAAAGACUGGGGCUUAACCCUGGAAAGGCGGUGGAAACUGAAGCGCUAGAGUUCGGUAGGGGCAGAGGGAAUUCCCGGUGGAGCGGUGAAAUGCGUAGAGAUGUGGAGGAACACCAAUGGCGAAGGCAGCUCGCUGGGACGUGACUGACGCUGAGACGCGAAAGCGUGGGGAGCGAACAGG